rnacentral:rRNA from 1 species
GGAAAUUGGGGCCCUCGGCCUUGAAUUGUAGUCUCGAGAUGCAUCGCCAAUGGAGGCGCAGAUGUAAGCCUCUUGGAAAAGAGCAUCAACGAGGGUGAGAGUCCCGUUUGUCAUCUGCAGUCCCCCAUGCACGGCGUGCCUUCUAAGAGUCGCGUUCCUCGGAAUUGGAGCGUAAAUUGGGUGGUAAAUUUCAUCUCAAGCUAAAUAUUGGUUCGAGACCGAUAGCAAACAAGUACCAUGAGGGAAAGGUGAAAAGGACUUUGAAAAGAGAGUUAAAAGUGCCUGAAAUUGCUGAAAGGGAAGCGAAUGGAACCAGUGUUGCUUGGCGAGAUUGUCAUACGCAUUCGCGUGUGGUGGUUCUUGCCUUGUGUGUCAACGCCAGUUCGCGAUCGAGGAAAACUCUUGGGACAUGGUAGCCUGUCUUCGGGCGGGUGAAUGUGCCUUGUAGAACUCAUUUGCGGACUGAUUACUUCUGUGUCUGGUUGCAGCGCUUCUUGUCGCUUGGGACGUGCUUGGGCGUGGGAGCUUGCUCCUCGCGCCCAGCGCUCUGUGACUGGGCGCUU